AUAUUUCCGUCGCCAGGAAGACGUCGCGACCUGUUCGCGGUCGGUCCCUGCUCGGAGGAGUUGCGUUCGAGUUCGUUGUGCGGCGCGUUUCUGCGCGUCACACGGCGAAGGCGCGAAUCUCUGGCCGGCCGACGGACAGUAGGCUAAACGGUGUCCGGUGUCGUCGUCUCGUACGCGCGCGCAUCGGUACCGGUCGGCGACGAAUUCUUCGGGCCUCUUUCCGACCCGUCUUGAAACACGGACCAAGGAGUCUAACAUGCGCGCGAGUCGCGGGGUGUCGAGCGUACCACGCGUACGCUCGUUACGUAACGAAACCCGUACAUAUCGAAGGCGUAAUGAAAGUAAAUGGGGAAGAUGGUGUUCCGAGUACACGUUCCGCGGUCAUCGGUACCGCGGCCGGACACCCGCAUUCCCGGGGCGUCUCAACGGCCCGUCGCGAAUGCGGACGGUCGUCUUUCGGGGCGGCCGUCGGUUUGCGACGAACCGAGGCGCACCUAUAGCGUGCACGUUGGUACCCGAAAGAUGGUGAACUAUGCCUGGCCAGGAUGAAGUCAGGGGAAACCCUGAUGGAGGUCCGCAGCGAUUCUGACGUGCAAAUCGAUCGUCUGAG
rnacentral:rRNA from 1 species